AAGCUCGUAGUUGAAUUUGGGAUCAGACUGUCGGUCGUGCCUCGGUACGCACUGGCAUUAUUGGUUCCUACCUUCUGAAGAACCGCGAUGUCAUUAAUUUGGUGUCGCGGGGAAUCAGGACUGUUACUUUGAAAAAAUUAGAGUGUUUAAAGCAGGCUUACGCUUGAAUACAUUAGCAUGGAAUAAUGAAAUAGGACGUUUGAUUCUAUUUUGUUGGUUUCUAGGAUCGACGUAAUGAUUAAUAGGGAUAGUUGGG
rnacentral:rRNA from 1 species